rnacentral:rRNA from 1 species
UACGGGGGGGGCGAGCGUUGUUCGGAAUCACUGGGCGUAAAGGGCGCGUAGGCGGCCCGCACAAGUCUGCGGUGAAAACCCCCGGCUUAACCGGGGGCCGGCCGUGGAAACUGUCGGGCUGGAGGCCGGGAGAGGGCAGCGGAAUUCCUGGUGUAGCGGUGGAAUGCGCAGAUAUCAGGAGGAACACCGGUGGCGAAGGCGGGUCUCUGGGCAGUAACUGACGCUGAGGAGCGAAAGCGUGGGGAGCGAACAGG